AUUGAACGCUGGCGGCAGGCCUAACACAUGCAAGUCGAGCGGUAGAGAGGUGCUUGCAUCUCUUGAGAGCGGCGGACGGGUGAGUAAUGCCUAGGAAUCUGCCUAGUGGUGGGGGAUAACGUUCGGAAACGGACGCUAAUACCGCAUACGUCCUACGGGAGAAAGCGGGGGAUCUUCGGACCUCGCGCCAUUAGAUGAGCCUAGGUCGGAUUAGCUAGUUGGCGAGGUAAUGGCUCACCAAGGCGACGAUCCGUAACUGGUCUGAGAGGAUGAUCAGUCACACUGGAACUGAGACACGGUCCAGACUCCUACGGGAGGCAGCAGUGGGGAAUAUUGGACAAUGGGCGAAAGCCUGAUCCAGCCAUGCCGCGUGUGUGAAGAAGGUCUUCGGAUUGUAAAGCACUUUAAGUUGGGAGGAAGGGUAGUAACCUAAUACGUUGCUACUUUGACGUUACCGACAGAAUAAGCACCGGCUAACUUCGUGCCAG
rnacentral:rRNA from 1 species